rnacentral:rRNA from 1 species
GACGAACGCUGGCGGCGUGCCUAAUACAUGCAAGUUGAGCGCUGAAGGUUGGUACUUGUACCAACUGGAUGAGCAGCGAACGGGUGAGUAACGCGUGGGGAAUCUGCCUUUGAGCGGGGGACAACAUUUGGAAACGAAUGCUAAUACCGCAUAAAAACUUUAAACACAAGUUUUAAGUUUGAAAGAUGCAAUUGCAUCACUCAAAGAUGAUCCCGCGUUGUAUUAGCUAGUUGGUGAGGUAAAGGCUCACCAAGGCGAUGAUACAUAGCCGACCUGAGAGGGUGAUCAGCCACAUUGGGACUGAGACACGGCCCAAACUCCUACGGGAGGCAGCAGUAGGGAAUCUUCGGCAAUGGACGAAAGUCUGACCGAGCAACGCCGCGUGAGUGAAGAAGGGUUUCGGAUCGUAAAACUCUGUUGGUAGAGAAGAACGUUGGUGAGAGUGGAAAGCUCAUCAAGUGACGGUAACUACCCAGAAAGGGACGGCUAACUACGUG